rnacentral:rRNA from 1 species
UCUCAAAGAUUAAGCCAUGCAUGUCUCAGUGCACGCCUUUAUACGGUGAAACCGCGAAUGGCUCAUUAAAUCAGCUAUGGUUUAUUGGAUCAUACCCGUUAAAUGGAUAACUGUAAUAACUCUAGAGCUAAUACAUGCCAUUAUGCCCUGACCCUCACGGGAAUGGGUGCACUUAUUAGAUCAGAAGCCAACCGUGUAUGGCCGCAAGGCUGUGCAUGUUGACCUUCUGGUGACUCUGGAUAAUUGUUACAGAUCGCAGUCGGCCUUGAGUCGGCGACGGGUCCUUCAAAUGUCUGCCCUAUCAACUUUCGAUGGUAGGUGACCUGCCUACCAUGGUGAUAACGGGUAACGGGGAAUCAGGGUUCGAUUCCGGAGAGGGAGCCUGAGAAACGGCUACCACUUCCAAGGGAGGCAGCAGGCGCGCAAAUUACCCACUCCCAGUACGGGGAGGUGGUGACGAAAAAUACCGAUGCGGGACUCUUAACGAGGCUCCGUAAUCGGAAUGAGUGAACUAUAAAUCCUUUCACGAGGAUCAAUUGGAGGGCAAGUCUGGUGCCAGCAGCCG